CAGCCGCCGCGGUAAUACGAAGGGUGCAAGCGUUACUCGGAAUUACUGGGCGUAAAGCGUGCGUAGGUGGUGGUUUAAGUCCGAUGUGAAAGCCCUGGGCUCAGCCUGGGAAUUGCAGUGGAUACUGGGUCACUAGAGUGUGGUAGAGGAUAGUGGAAUUUCCGGCGUAGCAGUGAAAUGCGUAGAGAUCGGAAGGAACAUCUGUGGCGAAGGCGACUAUCUGGGCCAACACUGACACUGAGGCACGAAAGCGUGGGGAGCAAACAGGAUUAGAUACCCCGGUAGUCCCUGUCUCUUAUAC
rnacentral:rRNA from 1 species